CACAUGUAAGUUAGAGAGGUAGGUGGGAGAGAGUUUUUUUUCCUUUUUUUUCUUAUUUAUACCUCAAGUGUAAGUGUUACACUAACGUGUGAGAGAUUUGUUUUCAUUUUUACAAAGUAGGCCCCACGUAUAAGUGACAUAUGCACACAAGGGCAACUAUGUCUAAAGAACAGAUCAUUAACACUUAAAGGUCGUUGACCGGACAGAAACGGCACAGAAGGGUAUUUCCAUAAGGGCUUCUAAUGUAAGAGGGGCAAAGUUGAGCAUUGUUUUAUUUUAGGGGUAAAGAUGAGGUCGGGCCAAAGUUAGGG
rnacentral:lncRNA from 1 species